ACGAAAUCAGCAAGGGGGGAAGCCAUAGUUAGGGUUUUCAAGCUUCCAAGCUCCAUAAUCAAGAAGUACGAAACUUGAGGUUAGGCAAAGGGAAGAAUAAAGUUGAAGACUAAGUUGGUGAAUUUGGUUAUAAUUGGCACCGAGUAUUACAAUGCUACUUCAAGGAUCCUAAAGAAGUCGGAGAUCGUCCACACUAUCAACCACAACUGCUCGGUAUAGGCACAUUUCAAGGUUCCAAGAAGUGAUUCCAGCAUCCAACCAGAGAUUCUCGACUCAACAAUGUUUGUAUAAUCUCUUUUUGGUUCAUUAUAUGACAUGUACCUAGGUUGGGUCGAUUUUGUAUAUGGUAUGAACUUGUUAACUUUGGAAGUUAGAAUUGGUAAUUUGGUAAUGGCAAAAAUGAAUAGUUGUAUAGAUGAAUUUGGUAUAUUUGAAAUGCAUGAGAUGUUGCAAAUUUGUGACCAUAUGUAUAUGCAAGUAUGCCAAAGGGUUAAAUGGUUAUCA